rnacentral:rRNA from 1 species
AUUGAACGCUGGCGGCAGGCCUAACACAUGCAAGUCGAACGAGUGGCGGACGGGUGAGUAAUGUCUGGGAAACUGCCUGAUGGAGGGGGAUAACUACUGGAAACGGUAGCUAAUACCGCAUACCAUCAGAUGUGCCCAGAUGGGAUUAGCUAGUUGGUGGGGUAACGGCUCACCAAGGCGCCGAUCCCUAGCUGGUCUUAGAGGAAGACCAGCCACACUGGAACUGAGGCACGGUCCAGACUUCCAAGGGAGGCAGCAGGGGGGAAUUGUGCACAAUGGGCGCAAGCCCGAUGCAGCCAUGCCGCGGGUAAGAAGGAGGGCUUGGGGUUGGAAAGUACUUUUAGCGGGGAAGCGUUACCCGCAGAAGAAGCACCGGCUAACUCCGUGCCAGCAGCCGCGGUAAUUC